AUUGAACGCUGGCGGCAUGCCUUACACAUGCAAGUCGAACGGUAACAGGUCUUCGGAUGCUGACGAGUGGCGAACGGGUGAGUAAUACAUCGGAACGUGCCUAGUAGUGGGGGAUAACUACUCGAAAGAGUGGCUAAUACCGCAUGAGAUCUACGGAUGAAAGCAGGGGAUCGCAAGACCUUGUGCUACUAGAGCGGCCGAUGGCAGAUUAGGUAGUUGGUGGGAUAAAAGCUUACCAAGCCGACGAUCUGUAGCUGGUCUGAGAGGACGAUCAGCCACACUGGGAAUGAGACACGGUCCAGACUCCGACGGGAGGCAGCAGUGGGGAAUUUUGGCCAAUGGGCGCAAGCCUGAUCCAGCAAUGCCGCGUGCAGGAUGAAGGCCUUCGGGUUGUAAACUGCUUUUGUACGGAACGAAAAGCCCUGGGUUAAUACCCUGGGGUCAUGACGGUACCGUAAGAAUAAGCACCGGCUAACUACGUGCCAGCAGCCGCCGUAAUAC
rnacentral:rRNA from 1 species